rnacentral:rRNA from 1 species
UACGGAGGGAGCUAGCGUUGUUCGGAAUUACUGGGCGUAAAGCGCGCGUAGGCGGCUUUUUAAGUCAGAGGUGAAAGCCCGGGGCUCAACCCCGGAAUAGCCUUUGAAACUGCAGAGCUUGAGUCUCGGAGAGGAUGGCGGAAUUCCGCAAGUAGAGGUGAAAUUCGUAGAUAUUCGCAAGAACACCAGUGGCGAAGGCGGCUUACUGGUCCGGUUCUGACGCUGAGGCGCGAAAGCGUGGGGAGCAAACAGG